AACGCGAAGAACCUUACCCAGACUUGACAUGCAGAGGACGUAUGCAGAAAUGUAUACUCCCUUCGGGGCCUCUGCACAGGUGCUGCAUGGCUGUCGUCAGCUCGUGCCGUGAGGUGUUGGGUUAAGUCCCGCAACGAGCGCAACCCUUAUCAUUAGUUGCCAUCACUUCGGGUGGGCACUCUAAUGAGACUGCCUGGGUUAACCAGGAGGAAGGUGAGGAUGACGUCAAGUCCGCAUGGCCCUUACGUCUGGGGCUACACACGUACUACAAUGGUCGGUACAGAAGGCAGCUAAGCCGCGAGGUAGAGCAAAUCCUAGAAAACCGAUCCCAGUUCAGAUUGUAGUCUGCAACUCGACUACAUGAAGUUGGAAUUGCUAGUAAUGGCGAGUCAGCAACAUCGCCGUGAAUACGUUCCCGGGCCUUGUACACACCGGCUAC
rnacentral:rRNA from 1 species